AACUGGGGGAAAAGGUUACGCGUCCCUGUUUUUUAUUUUUUCUAUCGGGUUAUCAUAUCAUAGAAGGGUCAUCGUGUUUUAAACCGCUAGAGUCGCACACUAAAAGCUAAUUUUUGUCUAUCAGAAGGCAUUUUAAACCAAAGUUUAGUCCCGACUAAAUAACAGACUUGCUGGAGAACACGUCCCAGCGGUUUAAACGCUAGCUGACGCUGUCGUCCUGGUAAAUUUAACGUGACGACGCAGUUGAUUACAAAUAUAUGCAGAUGCAUUUAUUUUGUAUAAAUCAUUCAUUCGUUAAUGCGAAAUUGGUCGAUCACAUUUUACAUGCCUAACGUUAAAUCAAAUUCCUUUGAUAAAUUUGACUGUGAUCGAGGAAUAUAUCACAGUUAGGAAGUAAUUGCAUCUUAUUUUGCAAUAUCCAACAAAAUUGACCCAAAUUUGCCAAAUCUAAUUUUAAUAGGCUCUACUUACAUUAUUGACACGCGGUCAUAGUUGAGCUAAGUACCAACUUUCACUAGCCAAACGUUAACCAAAGUCUUUGUGAUACUUGUAUUCAAUAUUAUAUGUUGAUGAACAGUGAACUAUGAUUAUGAACUAUCAUGGAGAUGACGUUUUCAAGAUACUAGUUGCAAAUAGUUAAACCUGUUGAUAUCUGCCUUAUUAUUGCCCCUUUCCUCAGCCUGUCUGCUCUAAUAAAUAAGUCAAAUAGUGGUACAUUUAGCUUUGACUACUAUAGGGUACUACUAGUGAUGCCGUGACUAUGAAAAUAGUCACCCACAUCCCAGCCAGAUCUGAACUUGAAACCUGUCAACAGGAUAAUCAACUGAUAAACGAAACAACGUUUUUGGGGGGAGAUUGACUGAUGUUUAUGAACGUGCCAAGGCUCUAUGGUGAAACAGGUCCCAUGGGCUCUACCGGAAGAAGCGUGACUUCGCCACUCUAUAGUGUAGCUCGGAACCAGAUAGAUCAUUUACAUUGCAAAACAUAAUGGGAACACAUUUUUUGCGCAAUGUAUAAAAUGCAUAACCAUUUUGCAAAACAAAAUGCAAGCUGUAGGCCAACAGAGAGCAGUGUUUAUGUAGAUACAAUACAGGGAAAGGGCUGGUAUCUAUGGACACAUUCACAUAACUUUAUUCAUGCCACUGUGGCCACAUUUUUUUAUUUUCUUGGGUGAAUUUAUGUUUGUCAGCAGGAGUUGCCCUACAUAGCCGUUUUGACAAUGGGCCUCAGGAGACCGGCUCCCAAUGGGUAGCUUAGGGCUGUGAUGAACUCCCACUCCCAUUCAGGGUGUUGGCUAACUGGUCAUUCAGGUGAUCGGGGCUCAGCGGACAUCUGUGGGUGCUCACAUAUAAAGCGUAUGGGAGCAGUGAUGUAAAUUAUUUUAGUCUAUGCUAUUUCUGAUAACAUGUUUCAAGCUAACCACUGUUAUGAAUGGUUUCUUCAUCACAUAAUGGAUAGCACCAUAUAAGUUUUUAAUGAUUUUAUAGAUAAGUUGAAGACUACAAACAUGGCCACUUUGCAGUUUCCGUUUAAGCCCAGACAGAACCAAGGUUUACCUGGGUAAAUUAGAACAUGUAGGCGUGGCCUAUUUACCGCUCCGCCCACUCCCUAUAUAACUGUUUGUUUACCUGUGUUCGAGAGACGCCUCAUGGGACACCUCCAGAAUGGGAGAUGCUUCAUGAACCACCUCCAGAACGCAAGCCCGUUUACCUUGUGUCUCUGUUAGAAUAAACCACGUUGUUGAACAUUUAUCACUCUCCGAGUCAUACCUAGCACGAGACCACCACACCACAAAGGAUCCAAUUAGUUUUACUUCAGUGGUGGAUGCAAUUAGUGUGUGUGGUGAGGAGAUGAUUUUUAAUUCCCUUUCCAAUACAUCGGAGGUCUUGGAAUAUAUUGAGAUGUUUUACGUCACUCUUAAAUACUGUGUGUGGAAGGGGUUGUAUCAAUUGAAUAUUACAUUGGGUUUAUAAAAAUCUUGAGUAAUGCUUCGGGAAGAGAACUGCUGCUACUUUUUUGUCGCAGAUUUUAUUUGCCAAGCUUCGGAGAGAAGGCAGAAUAUUUAAUUGAAAACCGAGCUGUAAAAUAACAUAUAAUAAGGACAUUUUAUAUCUGGCCACUGCACCAAAAACUGUACUUUUGGAGUCUUGUACACCCAUAAGGGUUUUGGCACUCUUUGUGCAUGGCACCGUUGUUUUUUACAAUAAAAUACAUAAAUAUCACAUCUAUAGUUUGUAUUUAAACAGGAAUGCUUUGAGCAUAUACAUAUUGGGUAGGGUGAAAGAACCUAAGGUGAGAAGCUAGGAUUUGGCCGGACAAGAGGGCGGCACAAAAACUCCUAAGGCAGGCAGACAGGCAAAGAAGAGAAAUAAAAAUGAGAAAUAAACAGGAAUGGAAGGUGUGGAGAGGGCCCUUUCAGACACCGAAGGGAGGUUCUUUCAUUCGUAUUUCAAGUACGUCUCAAUGGCUCUCUUCUGCUUCUUCUUAGGCCGGGAGAUAACAAACCACAUUACUUUUCGCUUAGAGUGCACAGAAGUGCAGAUGUGUUGGAGGACUGAAGGGAGAGCUAGUGUCAGAGUGUGCAGGGGGUUUCAUCAGGCAUUUCAUUACUAAGGGUCGUGAGGAUGGUUAUUUGGGCCUCGGUCAAGACAACAGAAGACAUAGUCUGGUCUUCUUCAUCAUUAGACCAUUACUUGGGUUGAUCAUAAUUUGUCCUUGCAUCAUUUCUUUCUUUUGUGAGAGGAAUGAAGUUCACAAGAUGAAAGGUUAGAUGAGUGAAAUAUAUCGAAGCAGCCGUGGUCAGAAUAGAGUCUGCGUCUUCACUUUAUCUGUGCUCCUCUCCACUCUGUUGUUCAAUCUCAAACACUGAAUACCCAUUCCAUUUGAUGCAUUAACUCUCGCACUUCAAUUGUAACAAUAAAGCGAUGAUGUCAUAAGACGCAUCAGAAAUAGAAGAAAAAAUAUAGAAAUAGAAAUAGAAUAGCUGAUUAUUAUUGGUGUUAAUGAGCGGCAGAUAUCUUUGGUUUUGUCCAAAUCCACCACAAGAACAUAAUAAACAACAAAUGCUGCUGAAUGAUCACAUGGUGGUUUUCAUCUGAGUUGACAUCCCUCAUUUCAACAUAAGAAGCACAUAAAUUAUAUUGGACAUGGGGUAGGAGUACAGAUAAAGAAACUAUUGUUUAUGAUUAUACAAUAUCCAUCCAGGUACUAAUGCAACUGUGAUGAGCUAUUGUAUUGGAACCUUUUGUAACGACUUGAACUGAAUGAUUUUUGUUUUUGAUUCAUCUUUAGAGACAACUGUGGUUACAAUUGGAGAAAAUAGCCGUAGGUGAUGAAGAAUAAAUGUCUAGACAGAAAUUGCCUCUCCAUCGGGAACUAGGCAACAAGUUUUGGAGAAUAAUAAUUAUUUCUAUGAACUGUAUCUACGUGAAUGAAUAAAUAACAACAGAAAUAUCUGUCAUAUCUCUAUCUGCCUAGUACUGCAUUACAUGCAUCAGUUUGUGAAACGACUGACUGCAGCCGGUAGCUGCGAAAAUAACAAAAAUAUGGAUGGUUUACACAAUUACCUACUUCUCCUCUGCUAUUAGAGCUCCCACCGCUGUCGUCAUGUAAUGUACAAACACAGAAUAUAUAUUUUUAGAAACCAUGUCUCUAUAGUACUGGAUGCAGGGUGUCCAAA